rnacentral:rRNA from 1 species
UACGAAAGGUGCGAGCGUUAAUCGGAAUUACUGGGCGUAAAGCGUGCGUAGGUGGCUAUUUAAGUCGGAUGUGAAAGCCCCGGGCUCAACCUGGGAGGUGCAUCCGAUACUGGGUAGCUAGAGUGUAGUAGAGGGAGGUGGAAUUUCAGGUGUAGCGGUGAAAUGCGUAGAGAUCGGAAGGAACACCAGUGGCGAAGGCGGCCUCCUGGACUGCUCCUGACGCUGAGGCGCGAAAGCUAGGGGAGCGAACGGG